rnacentral:rRNA from 1 species
UACGUAGGGGGCCAAGCGUUGUCCGGAUUUAUUGGGCGUAAAGGGCUCGUAGGCGGCCAACUAAGUCAGACGUGAAAUCCCUCGGCUUAACCGGGGAACUGCGUCUGAUACUGGAUGGCUAGAGGUUGGGAGAGGGAUGCGGAAUUCCUGGUGUAGCGGUGAAAUGCGCAGAUAUCAGGAGGAACACCGGUGGCGAAGGCGGGUCUCUGGGCCGAUACUGACGCUGAGGAGCGAAAGCGUGGGGAGCGAACAGG